rnacentral:lncRNA from 1 species
AGGGCCUCAUUUUUUUCUGUCAUUGGAGCCAUCAUUUAUUUAGCAUCUUUGUUAAAUAGAAAGGGGUCUGUCCUGCGUGUGCAGUCUUUGGAUUUAAAAUUAUGGAAAUUCUUCAGGCAGAAAAUGGGCACAUAUGGUUAUCACAGAAAAGCUGUUUUAAAGCCAGUUUUAAGGUAUUAUUAUGCCGCUCCCUUCAAGAAGUAAUUUGCGUGCUGUUUAUUGGAGCUGUGAAUUUAAUCAUCUCAAUCCCACGCUAUUGCAGGAUGACUAUAAGAAGAUGUAUUGACAUUUCUUUGGACACAUAAUUUUGCCUCCAUUGUGUGUUGUUUUGCCAGAAUACUGAAGGCAGUGUUUGUAUGAUGGCACAUCCAAAUAAAAAGCAGGUCCUCCUUUUGUGACAGUGAUCCAUUUAA